AGAAAGAUGUUUAUAUAUAUGACCCUACCGCCCGGACAGGUUGAUUGGAUUUAAUUAAGCGCGCGCACACACGCAGACGGUGAGACACGGAGCGAGGCCUUGGCCCUCUAGAAAUUCCUGCUCCGGUACCUGUGCUACUCGGUAUAUAGACCGUGAAUAAGCUUGAAGGUUUGAUGCGCUCGUUGAUGACUCAAAUCAAGUCGAAAAUAACGUGUGUUGUUGUGCUCACACAGUGUGAGUAGAAAUCAUUAGUGGCGCAUUGAUAUUAAUGAUCAUGUGAAAUUUCACAGCAGCGCACGUAAUUCAAAUGAAUGUAGGGGAAACACUGGGGUUUUUUUCAACAGAGAAGGUGAAAUGUCCGUUUUUGGAAAUACCCGGCAACGUGUAAAGAUCAAUGGGACGCAAUGCAGCUCUUAUUUAUUUUUGCUAACCUGCUCUAUUUUUUCUCUUAGGCGGGGGGCAAAAAUGCUUGGGCGCUGCGCCUAAGCUGUAGAAUGGCAGGGAAAACCCUGAGGAUGUAGUCUGGUACUCCCCAUCAGGUUAUAAUUUUGUUGGAAGGAGUUCUCAGCGACAUCCUGGUAUGUAGACUUGCUAGAUGGUUUCAUCUGAAGGAGUUCCAAGAUGGCACAGCGGAUGGCAGCUUCAAAACAUGGAUCACCUCGUUCCACGACGCUGGACUGCACGAGGGCACGAAUAUCCAGCCUUUGUGGGAUCACUAUGAACGCUCUAAGGCGAAAAGCUGGUACAGAUCUUUCCGGCAAUAUAGCGGGACAUUUGCAGGACGGCACUAUGAAAGAGGCUUCUUUGCCUUCUGUGAUAUCUGACUUCCAGCGCCGACAAAGUGACCGAUAUCUCUUUGAAUGGACUGACCCCAUAGUACAUCAAGGACUUCAUCCAAAUCUAUACUCCAGCGCUCAAAUUGAGGUCCGAGGGCCAGCUCCAGCCCGUGGUGCCUAGAGCGAGACUUAAAACCAGGGGGGGACAGGGCUUUCUCUGUGGUGGACCCCAGAUUUUGGAAUGCCCUCCCCCUCCUUGUCCCAGCAGCCCCCACGGUGGAGUGCUUUAAGUCUUGUCUUAAGACCCAUUUUUAUUCCCUGGCUUUUUAACUUUGCUUUGCUUUACUUUGUUUUGUGGUCCUCUGUGUCUUUUUAUUUCUUUUAGUACUUCAAACUACGUCUUUUAUUUAUUUUACUAUCUGUUUGAUUUUAUGGUUUUAUUUAUAGCAUCAUUUUAGAGUAAUACACUUAUUAUUUAUUGCUGAUUGUUAUAUGGAAAUGUUUGUUUUAUUGUUGUUUAAAUGUGCUAUACAAAUAAAGUGG